CGCGUAGGCGGCGCGGAAAGUCAACGGUGAAAGCUCGGGGCUCAACCCCGAGUCGGCCGUCGAUACUUCUGUGCUUGAGCACUGUAGAGGCAGGUGGAAUUCCGGGUGUAGCGGUGGAAUGCGUAGAGAUCCGGAAGAACACCGGUGGCGAAGGCGGCCUGCUGGGCAGUAGCUGACGCUGAUGCGCGACAGCGUGGGGAGCAAACAGGAUUAGAUACCCUGGUAGUCCACGCCGUAAACGAUGGGCACUAGGUGCUUGGGGGAGCGACCCCUUGAGUGCCGGCGCUAACGCAUUAAGUGCCCCGCCUGGGGAGUACGGCCGCAAGGCUGAA
rnacentral:rRNA from 1 species